rnacentral:rRNA from 1 species
UACUGAGGUGGCAAGCGUUGUUCGGAAUUACUGGGCGUAAAGGGCGAGUAGGUGGCCAUCUAAGUCAGACGUGAAAUCCCCCGGCUUAACCUGGGAACUGCGUCUGAUACUGGAUGGCUAGAGUUUGGGAGAGGGAUGCGGAAUUCCAGGUGUAGCGGUGAAAUGCGUAGAUAUCUGGAGGAACACCGGUGGCGAAGGCGGCAUCCUGGACCAAUACUGACACUGAGGAGCGAAAGCCAGGGGAGCAAACGGG